ensembl:snoRNA small nucleolar RNA SNORA61
ACCCUCCGGUUACCUUUCCCAUUGGAUCUGAAUGCUGGUCUUAGUGGAAGGGGGCAUAUGUUUGGGGAAAGGAGGAAAAGGAACACCGAAGCUGGCCUCACAGUGCUUAUAGUCUGGCAUAUAGCUUAUGGCCUAAUUUCAAACAAGG